rnacentral:rRNA from 1 species
GAGCACGUAGGUGGGUUUGUAAGUCAGAUGUGAAAGCCUUCUGUUCAACGGAAGAAUUGCAUCUGAAACUACAAACCUUGAGUGUAGGAGGGGAGAAUGGAACUUCUGGUGGAGCGGUGAAAUGCGUAGAUAUCAGAAGGAACGCCGGCGGCGAAAGCGAUUCUCUGGCCUAUUACUGACACUGAGUGUGCGAAAGCUAGGGGAGCAAACGGGAUUAGAUACCCCGGUAGUCCUAGCCGUAAACGAUGGGCACUAAGUAGAGGGAAUUACCGAUGUUCUCUCUGCCGUAGCUAACGCAUUAAGUGCCCCGCCUGGGGAGUACGGCCGCAAGGCUAAAACUCAAAAGAAUUGACGGGGGCUCGCACAAGCGGUGGAGCAUGUGGCUUAAUUCGAUGCAACGCAAAAAACCUUACCGGGGCUUGACAUGAUAGAAGUAGGAACCUGAAAGGGGGACAAACGGUAUCCAGUCCGUAGCUAUUACAGGUGUUGCAUGGCUGUCGUCAGCUCGUGUCGUGAGACGUUGGGUUAAGUCCCCUAACGAGCGAAACCCUUGUUUUUAGUUACCAGCGGGUUAUGCCGGGUACUCUAGAAAGACUGCCGUCGUCAAGACGGAGGAAGGUGGGGAUGACGUCAAGUCAUCAUGGCCCUUAUGCCCCGGGCUGCACACGUGCUACAAUGGUCGGUACAAACGGAAGCGAAGCCGAGAGGUGAAGCGAAUCC